rnacentral:lncRNA from 1 species
GCUCAUGUCGGCGUGGGGCACAGCAGCCGCCGAGGGAGCCGAGCCGGCGGAUGUGGAGGCUGCCGAGCGGCGGUGCUCGCGUGAAGGAGGAAUAUGAUGAUGCGUGGAGUGGCGUGGGGUAACAACCAUCUCCAUCGAGUGGCGGUGCUCGCGUGAAGGAUGAGUUCGUGUUAGUCCCCCUAUCCCGAUCUGGAUUUUAUGGAUCUUUCAAAAAAAGUUCUUGUUAGGGAUUUGAGUUUUUUCCAUUUAACAUGCUCUCAUGUAGGGUAGUAGCACUCUCUCGGCUGUGGCUGCACGUUCAACUGGCCAGUCAAGGAGCUCCAGCAAGCAGGUCCGCCUACUCUCCUUUCCCCUGAGCUCCUGCAACUACACAAAUCAUCUUCCUGGUAUUUUCUCACUUUUGAUUCACAGACUAUGUAUUGUAGUUAGUUCUGGUGAUUAUCAGUUGAUCUAAGACCACUGUACGUGCAUAUCUCAGACUUGAGAAGAAUGCACAUAGCCUUGCUGAGAACAUAAUAUUGUUUCGAUGAUUAUCUUGUUUGUGCGCUUGUUUUGAUAAAACACAGGGGUUAUAGAGGAAUUGAAACAUGUUACAUUGAAAUCAGAGAGCAUGUCGUUGUUGCUUAAUUCCGUUAAUCUUGGCUGUCACUGUAUACCUUGAGAUUCAGGUAGAAGCAAUAGAAUCCAGGAAAAAAAUACCUACCUGCAUGUGUUCCUUAGAGAGUUUGUUUUCUUCAUACCUCACCAUUCUUAAUAUAUAUGGUCAUCUAUGUUCUGGAUAUCACACUCGACGGCCUCCCUUCAUGGCACAAAACUGAAACUACGCCAUGAAUAUAUUUAUUCAGUGAAAUAGCUGAUUCCAAUCAUUCAUCAACUAGCUUUGUUUUAAUCACAGCAAUAAGUCAUGAUAUCUUGAAAUUGCCUGAUUGGUGAUUAUACAUUUUAUAUGAUGUUUUUCACCUGCAAGCUCUGCACUUCUUUCCUUUCAACUUUAUCUCUCUUGCUUUAUUUCAUGAAUAUAUUCCUCUUCUCAUUCCAUCAUUCAGUCUGUUUGCAACAAAAUCCUGAUUCAUAGUCUGUUUUUUUUUAAUGCUUGGCACAUCCUAAACAAAAUCCUGAUUAAACGAUAGGCUUGGCAUAUCUUUUUUUAUCACUAUGGUUGCUUUUAUCCGCAACUGAUUUCUCUGAUUCCUUUCCCAUGCUGUAAUGCAAUUGUUUUGGGCAAUUCCCCAAGGCCUUAUGUUUUAUGUUAUUGGGAACUGCAGGACACCCAGCGAGUGUUUAGGAUCCCACACACGACAGUUCUUGGCAUGCUCCUGGCACACCUUGGACUAUCACCGGCUCAGUAUGAACGCGUUGUUCAUGAGGACGGCAAGACCCAUGUUGUAAAUUGUCUGUAAGCGACGUGUUGCCGUAUCUUCUAUGCCUAAAACGUCUGUAAGCGACGUGUUGUCGUAUCUUCUAUGCCUAAACGCGUCUAUGUUAUGCCUAAAACUUAAAGUUAUCUAUGCAUAGUUGUAAAUUGUCUUUAAGCGACGUGUUGUCGUAUCUUCUAUGCCUAAGAUAUUUGGUGCUAACCUAUCGUGAAACAUGAUUUCUAUGUUCAUGCAUUGUUAAGUAGCUUCUUAU